rnacentral:rRNA from 1 species
CACCGCGGUUAUACGAGAGGCCCAAGUUGACAAAUGCCGGCGUAAAAUGUGGUUAAUAUAAUUAUGUACUAAAGCUAAACAUCUUCAAAGCUGUUAUACCCACAUGAAGACAGGAAGUACCCCCACGAAAGUGGCUUUAAAUAAUAUUAUUCCACGAAAGCUAGGAUA